AGAUGUUAUCGGAACUUAAUUAAGGGAAAGAUAGGCUAAAAGCCCUUAAACAUGAACUGGGAUGUAAAAAUGUUGUGCUUCAAGCAAUAAAAUCAGAG